rnacentral:snoRNA from 1 species
ACCCUUCAGCUUUCUGACCCAUCAGACCUAAACCCUGUUCCGAGUGGUUAGAAAAGGAGGAAGGGUCAAAUUGAAAUGGAUUUAAAUUCCUUUGUGACACACAAGCUAGUUUCAAAAAAAA